GACUCUCGGCAACGGAUAUCUCGGCUCAC
rnacentral:rRNA from 3 species